rnacentral:rRNA from 1 species
GACGAACGCUGGCGGCGUGCUUAACACAUGCAAGUCGAACGGAAAGGCCCUGCUUUUGUGGGGUGCUCGAGUUGCGAACGGGUGAGUAACACGUGAGUAACCUGCCCUUGACUGUGGGAUAACUUCAGGCAACUGGGGCUAAUACCGGAUAGGAGCUCCUGCUGCAUGGUGGGGGUUGGAAAGUUUCGGCGGUUGGGGAUGGAAUCGCGGCUUAUCAGCUUGUUGGUGGGGUAGUGGCUUACCAAGGCUUUGACGGGUAGCCGGCCUGAGAGGGUGACCGGCCACAUUGGGACUGAGCUGCGACCCAGACUCCUACGGGAGGCAGGAGUGGGGAAUAUUGCACAAUGGGAGGAAGCCAGAUGCAGCAACGCCGCGUGCGGGAUGACGGCCUUCGGGUUGUAAUCCGAUUUCGUCUGUGACGAAGCGUGAGUGACGGUAAUGGGUAAAGAAGCACCGGCUAACUACGUG